CUCCGGGCUCACCUGGCCAAGUGGCACGGAUCGCAGAGCCAGCCCUGCUCUUCUGGGUGGACAUGGCUGCAGCUUUUGCAGACAAAGAGGCCACACUCCAGACACCGCCUUCGGCUGUUCACGAGGAGCCGCUUUUUUAAAGCCCCAGGUGACACAUGUGAAUAUGGAAUGCAUGGAUGAUGAUAAGAGACUAAGAGAAACUUCUCUGGAAUUCUCUCUCAACUCGGGAAAACAGGAUAAAGGAACCUUGAUCCAAAGCUCCACCCAUUGUGAGCAGAGCCUAGUCAUCCUGUUGUGACCUCACUGUGCUCCUCCCAACCUGCCUCAGGACCUAUACCCUGUACCCUGCCUUCCUGGGGUCAGGCUGGACUUACGAAGAAGCUAGUCUCGGGAAAGCAGGGCUACCCUUUAGCCAUAGACUUCCCAGGGCAGCAAACACAGGCCUGAACUACAACCUCAAGAAGAACCACGAGACACCCUUUUGUCAACCCUCUGCAGUGGGACUGUCCCCCAGGUCGAAGUCCCGCUGAACCACUGCCCACACGUGCUUGGCCUCUUCAUCUGUGAGUUUGGAAAGAUCCAGCUUUUUCCCCAUCUCCACACCUCAUCCAGGCCACACCUGGAAAGUCACGGGAUCACAAUCAAUCAACUCCAGGAGGCCCCAUGGACACUGAAUAAACCACAGAGUGUAAGGCAGAUCAUAAAAACACGCAUGGAUCCCUCAGGAUAUCUGUGCACUGGGCCAAAUGGUCUUUUAAAUGGAUGAAUACCUGUCUGAGAACUAGGGCCCUUUGUUAAAUUUCACACAGUUAAAUGAAUGGAAGUACAUAGAUGUGUAAGGGAAUUAGUUCUUGCCCCUGGGGCAUAGACAGUUGUCCCCACUGUUGGGGUGCCAAUGGUUCCCCACUGCAUUUUCUCAGAGGAGGGGAGCACAUAUGGAAGUCUAGCCCAGCUCUGAGUCCCUGGGGCCACGGCUUAUGACCUUCAGAGCUGACAAUGCUGGUCUCAGAGAGCAGGGAGCUUCAGAGACCCACCCUCCAUGUCUAAUCUCCACUGUCAGUGUGACUGGGUUUAAAGUCAUCUAGAAGAUGCACCUCUGGGUCUAUCUACAAGAGGUUCAGGUGAGGAGGAGAGAUCCACCCUGAAUGUGGGCAGCAUCACCCCCUGAGGUGGGGUCCCUCCCUGAAGGCAAAGGAGAAAUGAGAAAGAGAGCUAAGUGCUAGCGUUCAUACAGCGUCGUGGCUGUGGACCACCUGCUUCCGCCACCAUAUUAGUCACGUGAUGAACUGUGUGCUCUGUGAGCCAAAAGUCAAUUCUUCCUCCCUUAAGAUGCUUUUGUCAUAACAACGAGGAAAGUAACAAGCACCAUGGAAAGGUGAGAUGAUUCCUCAUCAUCUGAAACAUUUAUGGUCUUCUGGGGUGGGGCCUGCUUGCUUAGGGGUGUCCCAUGGCAUAAAAAGGACCCCUAGGAAUGUCAUACUAGCAUGAUGCCAAAUGUGCUUGCUCCAGGAAUAUUCAUGCAAGGCCCCCAGGGAGACAAAAGGAAUAAACCUGGUGACAUUACUCUAAGUGUGGCCCAUACUGGCUGAAAAACCUGCUUUAGAAGUUGAUUAGGACGAAGAUUCCCAAGCUCUGCCCAGUCCUGCAGACUAGAAAGCUGUGUUUUAGCAAGUUCCUCAGGAAGUUUGUGUCCACGUUAGAGUGGACUAGUACAGCGAGUCCCCAGACUCCCGUGGGUGGUAGUACUGCCGGGGAGGGUCUCCAUUUAGUGGUCACUAACAGAUUCAGUCUGCAUGUUCUGUUGGGUAGGCAGUGGGUGAGGCAAACCAGCGAUGGUGACAGCAUAGCUGAGCAGAGAAAGACAGGCUGUCACACUGACUUUUUGUAGAGGUGUCACAUGGUUCUCACCGGUCCUAUCAAUGUGACACUGCACCUGGGUAUAAAACUAGCUCCGGCAAUGGAGGAGCCUCCCUCAUGCAUCUUCACUGAGAACAUGGCACAGCUCCGCCUGUGAUCAGCAGGAGGCUUCUCUGACCACACAGUGAUCAGCAGGAGGCUUCUCUGACCACACAGUGAUCAGCAGGAGGCUUCUCUGACCACACAGUGAUCAGCAGGAGGCUUCUCUGACCACACAGUGGGCUGCACUCCUUUGCUGGCCACUCCCUACUUCCAUCCUUCUGAAGCUUCCUAAUGGUCAGUGUGGUCAUGCUGCUGUCAAUCUCCAUGGGGACAGUGACUCUGUUCCCGGCAUGUAGGUUCUUUCUCUACUCCUCACUGUUUGCAGCAGGUCAUGCAGGAAAGCCAAUGGAUGACCCCUAGUCCAGCUGGCUCCAGAAAUGGUUCUUGAGAGGACCGUGUUUAGAUGUCAGAAAGACCUGUUUAUGUGACAGAGUUGACUAGCACUGGGGACCCUGGAAAAUCUUCCUUGAGGAGUUGAUCUAUUUCCUUGGAAAUAAUAGAGAGGGGGACAAUUCAGGUGCUCUCACAGGGGACCUGCCAACCACCUGGAAGUCUUCAUCUUGCUUUCAAAUUCUGAAAUACAUCUCCCUUCAGAGCCACCAAACAGUCAGAGGCAAUCAGCAUGCAUAUUUGAGAAGAACUGUUUCUGUGCCACAGAAGUACUUUAAUUUGGCCACACAGAGGUUAAUUAUGGCCCAUAGCCUCAGCACUCAGUUGCUGAGGCAGGAGGAUCUCUGGUUGGAGGUUAGCCUGGGCUACAUAGUGAGAUAUGCAUAUCUCACAAAAAAAAUUCAAAACCAGCAACAAAAAAGUCUGUGAUGAUUAAUCAUAUUGUCAGUCUGACUGGAUUUGGGAUCCGAGGGGACAUGCCUCUGGGUGAGUCUGAGUGCUUUUCUAGAUAGAUUUAAUGCAGGAAGGAAGACCCACUCCGAAUGUGGGAGCACCAUCCCAUGUGAUGGAGUCCUGACUGAGUCAAAAGGAGAAGGCGAGCUCCGUGUCAGCAUUGGUCUCUGCUUCCUGACUGUGGGUGCUCUGUGACCAGCCGCCUCUCACUCCUGCUGCCACAGCUACGGCUGCCGCCUCUUCCCCCACCACCAUGGACUGCGUCCUCACACUGAGAGCGAAGCCAAACCAUUCCUCUAGUGGCUUUUGUCAGAUAUUUUUUCCACAGCAAGGAGAAAAGUGUGUAAAAGCAGGUUAAUAAAGACAAGUGACCCUGCCCAGGCA